GCCUUCUUGGACAGAUUUAGUUUCCUUUAAUGCUGAGUUGAAUAGUUGGAUUAUCUGAUGAAAUUGCAUUCGUAGGGAGUUGUUGAUGAAGGCCUGUUUUGCCUUUGUGUACGACACAAACUCUGUUAUGUAUCAGAGUCUCAAAUCUGUGAAAUGCAGCUUGGAUAUCAACACUUUUCACUGGAAAACAUGCUAUGUUUGACCAGAAGGCUUCUGUCUGCUGUGGUCUCGUCCCUCACACAGCAGGUGUGCUAGCAUGGUGUCACUUGCUAGCAUCUGAGAUUUAAAAAAAAUAUGAGAAGAUGCUGAUUUUCACGCUGCCACCAGAUUUCCUGCAUUGUUGCCUGCAUUAAUCACCUGCAGGUUCACUGGGUGCAUUUCUAGUUAGCAGUGUAGUUUUAUUGCAAAGCUUUAAUGGAGAGGAGCUUGCACUGCAGAGGGAGCCUGUUAGUUUGUGUCCCUGCAAGUUAUGAAAUGGAUUUCUUUUAAGACUUUAAAGUGUUUUUUUUUUAAUGGAGCCCCCUCUCUCUGAAGACUGACCUUAAUAAGUAAUCACAAGAUAUUGUUUCAUUGAACCACUAGAUAUGCUUUGCACCACAUGUGGUAUGCUCUGUACCUGAGCAGCUUAUCUUUUAUCACAUAGCAAUGCCUUCAAAUGCAUACUUAGACUUAAAACGAUGUCAGCCUCUCUAUCCCACCAUCACUUCUGUGAGGGAGGCUUUCUUUUAGCCAGCACAGUUUUACCAGUGGCUGCUGUGAUAAGUGGGACUGCACAGCUGAGAUGUCCAUCAUGAGGGAUGUCCAUCUCUGAUGGGAGAUGCUGCUGUUAGCUGUGUUGUUUCUGCCAAAUGUAGGACUUGCUGGGUUGGAGUUGGUUUUGCUUCUUGGGUAUAACGGGUAGAAGCAUGGAUAGCUGCCUGCCAGCUGACACAGGAUCACUUGUCCAACAGGUGGAACACCUCCUCGUGUGUAGAGUAGUUAAUGGCUAAACAAGCUUUGUGGCGGGAGGAGGAAGAAUUUAGUGUGGAACAAGGGAUUGAAAUGGGAGUAAUGAAAUUGAGAAUAUCAGGAAAAACCUUCAUGGUGAGUGGCAGAAGCACCUUUGCUUGUCCUGUGAGCACUUGAUGUUUGGCUGGGCGAAGCCACUAAAACACAGCAGUGGGAACAGCCUCGUAGCAGACACAGGGGAGCAGAUGCCCUUCCCUCUGUCCUUAACUGCUGUUUUGUUUGGGGUGCCUGUGAGUGAACAGCAUGGGUCUGAGCCGCCCGCCCCGCUGCUGGCAGAGUCAGAGCAGAGUUCAGUGGCUGAAGCUAACAUUAAGAUUCCUGCUUCAUGCAUGCACUUGCGUUGCAGAAGUGUGCUUUAACACAUUAAACCCUGCUGUGCAGGCGAGGAGAUCCUCCUGGUGCUGCUGGAAUGAGGAAUGUGUGUGCUGGGCACAGUUCUGCAGAAAUCAGUGUUCCCUUUCUCAAGGGAACAAAAUUCACCAUGUUUUUUUAGUGAUGAACAGAUCUCAUUUUAUUUUAUUUUUUUUUCCCCUGCUUGUUUUCUUGUGAUGUUGACUCACUGAACUGAGCAUGCUCAGAGAUUAAAGCCGUGAGAUUAAAUCAGUAUUCAAUGUUUCUUUGAGGACUUCCUGUACUAAGUGGAGACAUUUUGGUGCUUGCAGUUUGCAAGUGCUUCCGAUUGGUGUCACUUUGAAACUGUUGCCACUUUGUAAUGCUUGCACUUAGUUUUCUGAUAUGUGGUUUGCAAGAGGAGCUCUGGCUGAUUCAAAGCCCCCAGCAGCUGUAGGAGAGGAAUAGGAAAGAUGGUGUGUUUCCAUCUGAGGGCACCCACUCCUGCUUUUUGUCUCACGCUGGCUAGAGCUCUGAUUCCUUUUGCCUCCCUUCAUUUGAAAGUUGGCUUUCCUUCUUGCAGGGUGGUUGACCUGCAUCACCUUGGUGCAAAAACCAGCUGGCCGUAGUCCUCAAACAGAACCUGGCUCACGGCAGCCCUUUCUGUAUUUUGUCUUGUUCUCUAUAGCUGAUAGCCAGGUGUUAGAUGGUGGCUGUUCAUGUGGGGAAUUUGAUGGCAUCGCUCAGUCCUUGCUUGGAGUCACAGCCCUCCUGUGAGCUGUGUGUAAUGGGAAGGGGGGGGUUGCUGUUUUCAUCUGGGGCUUGAGCUUGACUUAACACAGCUGGGAAGCAGAGCUGUUCUUCAGCAGCCAGCAGCGCUGCCUCUUGGCGAAUUGCUGUGAUGCUGUGCAGCUCCUUCUGCUCUCAGAACAAACCACUCCUGCUCUCCCAGGUGACAACUGUGGGAAACUGCUUUGCAGUUCAGUCCAUAAGCACUGGAUGUUAGCAAAGCAGAGCAUUUGCCACUGCGCUUUGUUUCCUGUUCAUCCUGUCCUCUAUCUUCUCUGUUCACCAGCAGGUUAGCUUUCUUGUCUGCACAGAUACCUGCUGAUUACUUCAGCAAGGCUCUGCUGUUUCGACUAGCCUGUAUGGCAGGUUAGGCAGAGCUGCAGUGGAUCUGCUGAGGAGCUGUUAUGUGAGGAAUCGAGGGAAUGCAGCACUGUCUUCUGCAGCCUGGGAAUCACUGGGGAAAGAAGCCCUUUGCUCUGUGUUUUUGGUUUUUUUUCCCCUUGGAAGGAAGGGAGCCUGCAGUGUUCCAGCAACUCUUUUCCUUCCUGAACCCAGUUUCUUAGGAUUCCUUUCUGUUAGCCUGACUGAUGAUGGGAUUCCUCAGAUAUUGCUGUUGGAGUUUGCUGACACAAGGCAGCAGUUGCUUCUCUCAAAUAGCUGCAAUGCUACAGAAAAACUUCUAUGCCACUCUACUACCAUGCUGAGGAAGGGCUGGUCUAAAUUUUAAUGGAAACCAGAUUAAUUCUUUGUUAAAUUCAGCUUAGAUCAUACUGCUCUCGAGUUUUUGCUCUUAGUGGUUGAGACACAGCAUCACAGAUCAGCAGAUGGAUGCAGGUAAAUAGUUUCCAAGCAAAUGUCCAGGUGAAACUUGUGUUAUGCUACGGGGGGCUGAUGAGGGAGGAGCCCUUUUGAUGCUUCAGAUGCUCAUGAACUCUCACAGGGCUUUCUUCUGCCCUUUUGCUUAAACCUUUGUUUCAUUGUGUAGAUGCCUGUCAUUGCUGCCAUGAUGACUUUAAGGAUUCUUUUUUUGUCUAAUUGUAGUCCAAAUGCGUAACAGAAUGUGCACCACAGCCUGGGGAAAUGGUAGGUCCAUGACAUGAUUUGGGCUAUAAAGGGGCUUCGUGCUAGUGAAUUUUUGCAUUAGAGAAAUGGAAAUAAAGAGUCUGACAAACCAGAGCUGCCAACAGCCUUAGGUGUAGGAAGCACGUCCCAGGACACAGUCUGUGCUUCAAAAAGAAAAUCAGGAAUGCGUAAAAAUGAUCGUUGCUAACAGCUCUAAAAUGUUUUUGUUCUGCUGAGAUACAAAACUCGGGCAGUAAGCGAUGCUGGGUUCUCAUUUUGACUUUUGCCUUGAUUUUCAGAAGGUGGCUGUAACGAAAAACAGUAAGGAACACAGACUAAAAGGAAACAAAGUGUCCUGUGCGGUGGGUUUCUCUCCAAGGCUGCUGUGACUCGUUGGGCGUAACAGCACUGCGUUUCAGUAUUUGUGCUUCUGUGCAAAAUGAGGUGGCCCAGCAGGUGCCAUUUUGCUGCUCCUCUCUGUCCUUCUGGUGUUCUCCCCCUCUCGAGUGUCAGUAGCAGUAGAAAGAGGACUGGUUGCUCAUGGAGUCGCAUCUGCUGCUUCCUUAAGAAUGACUUCAUGUAUUUCUGUUGUUGUUUUCUCCUUGCUAGCUGAACCUAACACACCAGCACGGGUGCAGCCUCACUACCAUUGUCUUGCUUGAUGUCCUCUAACAGAACUGAAGCACAGAAGCGUUUUUUAGUGCUUAGCAAAACAAGGAAACUUACAUGGUUGAAUCGUGACGAUCGCUCGUGGAAUCGGUGCCGUGGGGCUUCCAGCUGGCAUCGUGAGCCACCCCCAAUUUGUGCCUUCCCAAGCCUCUCACAGAUGCAGUUUGCACUGUUCUUAGAUAUACCCUUAAGUGAGACUUUCUGGAUGUGGUGCCAACUGUUAAAUUGCAGUUGAUUUCCUUAAAUUUGUUUUCCUCUGCUGCUCCUGCCAAGCUCUGACUUCUGUGGUUUCAACUUGACGCUUACCAAAAUGGUUUUUUUUAGCUGCUGUCAUUUGCAGUGGCUGCUUGUUUGAAUUUCCUUCUUGCAGGAUGGCAAAGUAAUGUCACCUGCUGAUUCUUAAGCACCUGAAUCUUUGCAGUGUUGUCCUGAACAGCAUAGCAUAGAAUGGCCUGAGUUGAAAAAGGGCCACAGUGAUCAUCUCGUUUCAACCCUCUGCUGUGUGCAGGGUCGCCAGCCACCAGACCAGGCUGCCCAGAGCCACAUCCAGCCUGGCUUUCAAGUAUUUCAGCUGUAGCUAAUGGAGGCCCUUCAUUAGCAGCCCCUAAAAUGGUACAAACCAAACAGUUUUAAGUCUUUGAAACGCUGACAGUGAUGGCUAAUUAGUUAUUACCAUGGAGUGUGUUCAUCCCAAAUGCUGAACCUUGUCCUCCAUGUGAGCUCAAGCUUAAGUUCUCUCUCUCCUCUGUGUGUGGAGAUACUAGAUGGCUGUCAUUCUUUCACUGCUGUGUCAAGUAAAUUGGCAUGGAGAACUGACAGCUAUCACUGCAGUCCCAGUGCUGCGCUGGGAGAAGAGCUGUAUGCAUGUUGAGGUGUCAGAGACCUACCCUGGGCAUCGCCUCACUUUAACAGUCUGUUGCUUUGGAUGCUUCAGAUCACAUUUUAGAAUAAAAAACACCUGACUUCUAGCAAAAUGCUUUGCAUGGUGCUUACCUAAAAUGUCUGCUGAACCAGAAGUGAUUCACGUGAGGCUGGUGCAGCUUUUUUCCCCAGGCCCUGCCUGCCUUUACUGACGCGUGCGGCUGUGCAGGGACGUUCUUUAUUUUCCAGUUCUCGGAUGAAUUCAGCAAACUUCACUAGUGCUAAAAUGUGGGUCACGGGGACAGAGCUGAUGGGCUUAAAGCACGAGGUUUGAACUGGAGUCCUCCAGCAGCGAUAGCGGCAGCAGCAGCAGCAGCUGCAGCAGCAGUAGCAUCAACAGCCCUGACAGAGCGAGCGGCCCAGAACCCAGCCUGAAC